ACGCGUUGGGAGCUCUCCCAUAUGGUCGACCUGCAGGCGGCCGCGAAUUCACUAGUGAUUCGUAUUACCGCGGCUGCUGGCACGUAGUUAGCCGGUGCUUCUUAUUCCGGUACCGUCAUCCACACAGGGUAUUAACCCAUGCGUUUUCUUCCCGGCUGAAAGAGCUUUACAACCCGAAGGCCUUCUUCACUCACGCGGCAUGGCUGGAUCAGGCUUGCGCCCGUUGUCCAAAAUUCCCCACUGCUGCCUCCCGUAGGAGUCUGGACCGUGUCUCAGUUCCAGUGUGGCGGAUCAUCCUCUCAGACCCGCUACAGAUCGUCGCCUUGGUGAGCCUUUACCUCACCAACUAGCUAAUCUGAUAUCAGCCGCUCAAUCAGCGCAAGGUCUUGCGAUCCCCUGCUUUCCUGCUCACAGAAUAUGCGGUAUUAGCGUAACUUUCGCUACGUUAUCCCCCACUGAAAGGUACGUUCCGAUACAUUACUCACCCGUUCGCCACUCGCCACCAGGAUUGCUCCCGUGCUGCCGUUCGACUUGCAUGUGUAAGGCAUGCCCCCAGCGUUCAAUCUGAGCCAUGAUCAAACUCUAAUCGAAUUCCCGCGGCCGCCAUGGCGGCCGGGAGCAUGCG
rnacentral:rRNA from 1 species